rnacentral:lncRNA from 1 species
UGUCCCAGAACGAUUUAACGAAUCAGCCUUGCUAAAUUGCUAAAGUUGACUUUGAACUGCACUCCUCCUGCCUCAGCCUCCCCAGCUUCUGGGAUUACAAGCGUGUACCACUGUGCCCGGGCCCCCAUCCCUUUUAAAAAUAUGUUUUAUCUUGAAAAGUGUCUCACUAAACUGGGUGUGGAGGCACAUGCUUGUAAGCCCAGCAGCUCAGGAGGCUGAGGGAGGAGGAUUUCGAGUUCAAAGCCAGCUUCUGCAACCAAUUUACUGAAAUCCUGCCUCAAAUUUUUAAAAAGGGGCUGGGGCUAUAGCUCAGUGGCAGAGCGCUUGCCAGAGUGUGAGGCACUGGGUUCAAUCCUCAGCACCACAUAAAAAUAAAAAUAAACAAGGGCUAGGGCUAUAGCUCAGUGGUAGAGCACCCGCCUCGCAUGUGUGAGCCACUGGGUUGGAUCCUCAGCACCACAUAAAAAUAAAUAAAGAUAUCGUUAUCCAACUACAACUAAAAAAAAAUUUUUAAAUAAACAAAUGCAUUCAAUCCAUCUACAACUACAAAAAAGUUCUUUUUUAAUUUAAAAAAGUAUAAAAAGGGCUGGGGAUGUGGCUCAGUGGUUAAGCACCCCUGGAUUCAAGAAAGAAGAAAGGAAGAGAGGAAAG